UACGUAGGCAGCAAGCGUUGUUCGGAAUUACUGGGCGUAAAGAGUGUGUAGGCGGUUCUCUAAGUUCGGUGUGAAAUCUCCCGGCUUAACUGGGAGGGUGCGCCGGAAACUGGAGGGCUUGAGUAUGGGAGAGGAAAGCGGAAUUCCUGGUGUAGCGGUGAAAUGCGUAGAUAUCAGGAGGAACACCUGCGGUGUAGACAGCUUUCUGGACCAUCACUGACGCUGAGACACGAAAGCGUGGGUAGCAAACAGG
rnacentral:rRNA from 1 species